rnacentral:rRNA from 1 species
UACGUAGGGGGCGAGCGUUGUCCGGAUUUACUGGGCGUAAAGCGCGUGUAGGCGGCCGGAUAAGUCGGGUGUGAAAGCCCGGGGCUCAACCCCGGGAUGCCGCCCGAGACUGCUCGGCUUGAGGACGGAAGAGGGGAGUGGAAUUCCUGGUGUACCGGUGGGAUGCGUAGAGAUCAGGAGGAACACCCGUGGCGAAGGCGGCUCCCUGGUCCGUCCCUGACGCUGAGACGCGGAAGCGCGGGGAGCGAACGGG